rnacentral:rRNA from 1 species
GAUGAACGCUGGCGGCGUGCCUAAUACAUGCAAGUCGAGCGAACAGACGAGGAGCUUGCUCCUCUGACGUUAGCGGCGGACGUGUGAGUAACACGUGGAUAACCUACCUAUAAUACUUGGAUAACUUCGUGAAACCGUAUCUAAUACCGGAUAAUAUAUUUAACCGCAUGGUUCAAUAGUGAAAGACGGUUUUGCUGUCACUUAUAGAUUGAUCCGCGCCGCAUUAGCUAGUUGGUAAGGUAACGGCUUACCAAGGCGACGAUGCGUAGCCGACGUGAGAGGGUGAUCGGCCACACUGGAACUGAGACACGGUCCAGGCUACUACGGGAGGAAGCAGUAGGGAAUAUUACGCAAUGGGCGAAAGCUUGACGGAGCAAAGCCGCGUGAGUGAUGAAGGUCUUAGGAUCGUAAAACUCUGUUAUUAGGGAAGAAAAAAUGUGUAAGUAAAUAUGCACGUAUUGACGGUACCUAAUCAGAAAGCAACGGCUAACUACGUG